rfam:Salmo salar isolate Sally breed double haploid chromosome ssa07, whole genome shotgun sequence.
CAUGAAAUGAAAUGUAAGUCGCUCUUGAUAAGAGCGUCUGCUAAAUGACUAAAA